UGGGGAAUUUUGGACAAUGGGGGAAACCCUGAUCCAGCCAUCCCGCGUGUGCGAUGAAGGCCUUCGGGUUGUAAAGCACUUUUGGCAGGAAAGAAACGUCAUGGGUUAAUACCCCGUGAAACUGACGGUACCUGCAGAAUAAGCACCGGCUAACUACGUGCCAGCAGCCGCGGUAAUACGUAGGGUGCAAGCGUUAAUCGGAAUUACUGGGCGUAAAGCGUGCGCAGGCGGUUCUGAAAGAAAGAUGUGAAAUCCCAGAGCUCAACUUUGGAACUGCAUUUUUAACUACCGGGCUAGAGUGUGUCAGAGGGAGGUGGAAUUCCGCGUGUAGCAGUGAAAUGCGUAGAUAUGCGGAGGAACACCGAUGGCGAAGGCAGCCUCCUGGGAUAACACUGACGCUCAUGCACGAAAGCGUGGGGAGCAAACUGG
rnacentral:rRNA from 1 species